GACGAACGCUGGCGGCGUGCUUAACACAUGCAAGUCGAACGGAAAGGCCCUGCUUUUGUGGGGUGCUCGAGUGGCGAACGGGUGAGUAACACGUGAGUAACCUGCCCUUGACUUUGGGAUAACUUCAGGAAACUGGGGCUAAUACCGGAUAGGAGCUCCUGCUGCAUGGUGGGGGUUGGAAAGUUUCGGCGGUUGGGGAUGGACUCGCGGCUUAUCAGCUUGUUGGUGGGGUAGUGGCUUACCAAGGCUUUGACGGGUAGCCGGCCUGAGAGGGUGACCGGAAGAAUAGGGAAAGAGAACAGGGCGGGAGGAAGAAGGGAGGAGGAAGGGGGGGAGAGGGAAAAAUGGGCGGAGGCAGUAAGCAGCAAAGGCGCGGGAGGGAGGAAGGCAGUCGGGUGGGAAAAAGGGAGCGCCUGUGAAGAAGGGGGAGGGAGGGGAGGGUGGAAAGGAGAACAGGAUAACGAGGUG
rnacentral:rRNA from 1 species